rnacentral:rRNA from 1 species
GACGAACGCUGGCGGCGUGCUUAACACAUGCAAGUCGAACGGUAAGGCCCUUCGGGGUACACGAGUGGCGAACGGGUGAGUAACACGUGGGUGAUCUGCCCUGCACUUUGGGUUAAGCCUGGGAAAAUGGGUCUAAUACCGGAUAGGACCAUGCGACUCACGGUGUGUGGUGGAAAGCUUUUGCGGUGUGGGAUGGGCCCGCGGCCUAUCAGCUUUUUGGUGGGGUAAUGGCCUACCAAGGCGACGACGGGUAGCCGGCCUGAGAGGGUGACCGGCCACACUGGGACUGAGAUACGGCCCAGACUCCUACGGGAGGCAGCAGUGGGGAAUAUUGCACAAUGGGCGCAAGCCUGAUGCAGCGACGCCGCGUGAGGGAUGACGGCCUUCGGGUUGUAAACCUCUUUCAGUAGGGACGAAGCGCAAGUGACGGUACCUACAGAAGAAGGACCGGCCAACUACGUGCCAGCCGCCGCCGUAA